rnacentral:lncRNA from 1 species
AAAUAAUUCAUUACUUAUAUUUUUGUGUGUGACAAGACCUUCAAUCUUAUGCCUACGUACCAACCUAAAAAUGAGGAAUCAAAACCUCGUAGUUCGUAGGAAAAGUUCCAAAGAAGUUGGUGAGUUGAUUUUAACAAAAAUUUAAGAAGAGGGCAUAAAAGGCCAAAGUUUUGAAUGGGGUUGUUAGUUAUUUUUGUAUUUUUGAAAUUUGAAUUCAAUAUGGUUAAACUCAUUUAUAAAUUUGAUUUAAGAAAAAG